ACGGAAGGCAGCAGUGGGGAAUAUUGGACAAUGGGGGAAACCCUGAUCCAGCGACGCCGCGUGAGUGAAGAAGUAUUUCGGUAUGUAAAGCUCUAUCAGCAAGAAAGAAAAUGACGGUACUUGACUAAGAAGCCCCGGCUAACUACGUGCCAGCAGCCGCGGUAAUACGUAGGGGGCAAGCGUUAUCCGGAUUUACUGGGUGUAAAGGGAGCGUAGACGGCGAUGCAAGUCCGAAGUGAAAGCCCGGGGCUCAACCCCGGAACUGCUUUGGAAACUGUAUAGCUAGAGUGCAGGAGAGGUAUGUGGAAUUCCUAGUGUAGCGGUGAAAUGCGUAGAUAUUGGGAGGAACACCAGUGGCGAAGGCGGCUUACUGGACGAUUACUGACGCUGAGGCUCGAAAGCGUGGGGAGCAAACAGGAUUAGAUACCCUGGUA
rnacentral:rRNA from 1 species